UGUUGGACCACAGAGGGGCAGCCUGGCUUGGGAAGUUGUGGGCAGCCAGAGAAAAUUGUGACCGGCGGCGGCAGGUUUUUUUCUGAGCUUGAUUUUCUCAGGGAUGACCCUGCUGCCUAUGACUCACAGGAAGUGCUUUCUCCAACGCUGCCUCAGUGUUUCCUGUAGUAGUUGUCUCUAGAGUGAGAGAUUUCUAGAAUUUUCAGCGUCAACUUUUAUUUCCAACGCAACCAUCUUUCUCCCCUGGAACCUGAGCCGAGGCCUCGCAGCUCUGCCCAUGUCUCUGCCCUGCUGUUGGCUCAGAGGAGGUUCUCCACUGCUCAGUUUGGUGCUAUUUAGUGCACGAGGCUUGGGCUGCUAAAUGCCUUGCUGAAGGUGUGUAUCUGGGACGAAAAGAACCCACCCUCUUCCCUGCUCUUGUGUUCCCCCGAGGACCCGUGGAUGCUUUGGAGGCAGCUCCUGUAGGAUGGUUUCCUGGACGGGCUUUAUGGCAAAGCACACUUGGCAGUGAAUAUUGAGAUGGUGUCUGCCUUGUCUCUGGUUAUGCAGAAAUAAGAGAUGGGCACACUACAGAAGACCAAGAAGAGGUGAGGAAGAAGAAGAAGAAGAAAAAAAAAUCUCCGAUCAUUCUGGAGACAAAGCGAGACUGAUUAAAAACAACUGGAAGGGAGAGUUGAAAGCGGGGUUCUAGCCCCCACACAGCCGGUCUCUUGCUUCUGGAGAAGUGUUUUUAAGAAAAUGCACCAUUGUUAAAACUUUUUUUUCCCCUCGUUGAUGGAUUUAUUUAUAAGGUAGAGAAAUAUUUUCCCCAUAAUUGGGUAACUCUUAAUAGUAGCAAUUGCAUAUUUAUCAGUGUGAGGGGCUGUUAUUAAUGUAACUGUCAGGCCCAAACACAUUUCUGCAUUAAAUCCAUUUAGUAUGUGCAUUAUUCGGGCUCGAAUGUCACCGGGACAUCAAAGCCCCGUAGGCAUGGGGAGCUCAGUGCCCUGCUGCGGCUGCCGAACAGGCCCUUGAUCAAUAAAUGUAACAUGUUAAUGCAGAGCAAAUAGAAUAAAAGAUUUCUUUGACAAGACAUGAAAAAUCACCUUGUGGCAGCUGGCAUGUGAUGCAUUUCUGGGGGAGACACCAGCAAAGUUGAGCUGACAAGUAAAAUAGGAGAUGAUGGCUGGAAGGUGCUUUUGUUUCAAACUUCUUUCUUGACCUGUCAGGUUUUGAAGGCGCCUCAAUGGCUCUUUUUUGUCAUGUGAAAAUUGUAGUCUUAGGUAGUUAUGAAGCAGUUAUCUCUUCUCAGAUUGUGAAUGCUGCUGUUUAAUUGAUUCACUUAGCAUUUGAAACUGUCACGCAUUAAUAAUUGCGAAAUCCUGUAGAUACUGCGCACGGAGUGUGUCACGCUGAAAUGUGUAGUUAUCAGAAAAUUAAUAUCCUUAAUGAACCAGUGCUUUCAAACUAACAUUGCAUGAAAUCUCUUUUGCCCUUUCAUUUGUGGGAGCUACAUCCUCCAGUUUGCGGAGAAUCACCUCUCGACAGUUUGCUUUCUUGAUGCCCGACAAAUGCCAGCUUUGCUGUGGGUACAUCGCGUGCUCAAUGACAAUAAAUAUAGUAAUUAUACUGGAGUUAGUAAUUAACAUAAUUGUAGUCAAUUACGACAAAU